UCCUGCUCGCCUCCCGCCCGCGGAGCUGAGCUGCGAAGGGGGCCGGGCUGGCGCCGAGGGCGCGUCCCCAAACGGGCACGGGCGCGGACGCGCGCGUUCCUGGGGCUCCGCGGUCAGGUGGGUGUCCCUGCGGGGUCAGGCCUGCUGCUUCUAGCUCUCUGCCAGAGGAUUUUCCUCGCAAUUUCUGGAGUUGACUGCAUCUUUUCUCCUAGUCUUUUCCCUAAGAUGAAGACAAAGAAGUAAUAAUUCCUACAAAGGAGAGAAGAGCAAGGUCAACCACUAUCAGGAAGCAGAUGAUCCUUCUAAUAUAUCAUCAAAGGGACAAUAGUGGCCUAAUGCUAUGUCACAAUGCCUGUGUCAUUCACUUCACUUCAUCUCAUCACUAGGCAUUUUAUCCUCUCACAUCAAAAGAAGAAGGGUUCAACGAAUAAACAAAGAGAAAAAUUGUCCUACCCCGAACACAAAGUCCUGGAUUUACACAACUCUGAACAGACCUAGUUACUUAACAACCGCUAAAGUGAAUUUAAAAAAUAAAUAAAUAAAUACUGA